rnacentral:rRNA from 1 species
GACGAACGCUGGCGGCGUGCUUAACACAUGCGAGUCGAACGGAAAGGCCUGCUUUCCCUUGUGGAUUGCGGGUACUCGAGUGGCGAACGGGUGAGUAACACGUGAGUGAUCUGCCCCCAACUUGGGUAUAAGCCUGGGAAACUGGGUCUAAUUCCCGAUAGGACUGCAGGGUGGUGCCUGUGGUGGAAAACGAUUUUCUAGUGGUUGGGGAUGAGCUCGCGGCCUAUCAGCUUGUUGGUGGGGUAAUGGCCUACCAAGGCGGCGACGGGUAGCCGGCCUGAGAGGGUGGACAGCCACAUUGGGACUGAGAUACGGCCCAGACUCCUACGGGAGGCAGCAGUGGGGAAUAUUGCACAAUGGGCGGAAGCCUGAUGCAGCGACGCCGCGUGGGGGAUGACGGCCUUCGGGUUGUAAACUCCUUUCGACCGCGAGGAAGCCACCUGGUUGGAAGGGUGGUGACGGUAGUGGUAGAAGAAGCACCGGCUAACUACGUG